GAUGAACGCUGGCGGCGUGCCUAAUACAUGCAAGUCGAGCGAACUGAUGAGGAGCUUGCUCCUCUGACGUUAGCGGCGGACGGGUGAGUAACACGUGGAUAACCUACCUAUAAGACUGGGAUAACUUCGGGAAACCGGAGCUAAUACCGGAUAAUAUAUUGAACCGCAUGGUUCAAUAGUGAAAGACGGUUUUGCUGUCACUUAUAGAUGGAUCCGCGCCGCAUUAGCUAGUUGGUAAGGUAACGGCUUACCAAGGCAACGAUGCGUAGCCGACCUGAGAGGGUGAUCGGCCACACUGGAACUGAGACACGGUCCAGACUCCUACGGGAGGCAGCAGUAGGGAAUCUUCCGCAAUGGGCGAAAGCCUGACGGAGCAACGCCGCGUGAGUGAUGAAGGUCUUCGGAUCGUAAAACUCUGUUAUUAGGGAAGAACAAAUGUGUAAGUAACUAUGCACGUCUUGACGGUACCUAAUCAGAAAGCCACGGCUAACUACGUGC
rnacentral:rRNA from 1 species